UUGGCGCCAGCAACCGGUUGGACAGCGCGGUGCUCCUGCUCAAGGCGGAGAACUCGAGCCCGGUGUUCUUCUGCGCCGCCUUCGUGCCCGCCAUCAAGGACAUUCCCAAGAAGGAAGAAGACGCGGAAUACCGUCCGUUCCUGAACACGCUCAACGACACAGACUGCGACUACGAACGCCGCGGCUUCGAGGGCAAAGUGGUGCUGCUGGAGCGCUGCGACAACACCUCCAACGACGAGCUCAUCCAGCAGGCGAAGAGCGCCAAGGCCCAUGGCGUCCUCAUUUCCGUCAACGCAAGUCGCGUGGUUGAAGAAUCGAAGACCAGCAUCAAGAAGCUCGACAUAGCCGUCGGUUUUGUCAUCAAUGACACCGCGCACAAGAUCGCG